rnacentral:rRNA from 1 species
AUUGAACGCUGGCGGCAGGCCUAACACAUGCAAGUCGAACGAGUGGCGGACGGGUGAGUAAUGUCUGGGAAACUGCCUGAUGGAGGGGGAUAACUACGGGAAACGGUAGCUAAUACCGCAUACCAUCGGAUGUGCCCAGAUGGGAUUAGCUAGUAGGUGGGGUAAAGGCUCACCUAGGCGACGAUCCCUAGCUGGUCUGAGAGGGUGACCAGCCACACUGGAACUUGGACACGGUCCAGACUCCUACGUGAGGCAGCAGUAGGGAAUCUUGCACAAUGGGCGCAAGCCUGAUACAGCCAUGCCGCGUGUAUGAAGAAGGCCUUCGGGUUGUAAAGUACUUUCAGCGGGGAGGCGUUACCCGCAGAAGAAGCACCGGCUAACUCCGUGCCAGCAGCCGCGGUAAUAC